rnacentral:rRNA from 1 species
UACGGGGGGUGCGAGCGUUGUCCGGAAUCACUGGGCGUAAAGGGCGCGUAGGUGGCCUGAUAAGGGUGUGGUGAAAGUCCGGGGCUCAACCCCGGAUCUGCCGUGCCGACUGUUGGGCUGGAGUACUGUAGGGGCAGGCGGAAUUCCGGGUGUAGCGGUGGAAUGCGUAGAGAUCCGGAGGAAGACCGGUGGCGAAGGCGGCCUGCUGGGCAGUUACUGACACUGAGGCGCGACAGCGUGGGGAGCAAACAGGG